GUGCUCACUUUGGCACACGCAGACUAAAAUCGGAAGGACCCAGAGAAGCCUAGCAUGGCUGUGUGCAAGGAUGACAGGCAAAUUCAUGAGGCGUUCCCUAUUUUU